rnacentral:rRNA from 1 species
GUGGGGAAUAUUGGACAAUGGGCGAAAGCCUGAUCCAGCCAUGCCGCGUGUGUGAAGAAGGCCUUCGGGUUGUAAACUGCUUUUGUACGGAACGAAACGGUCCUGGUUAAUACCUGGGGCUAAUGACGGUACCGUAAGAAUAAGCACCGGCUAACUACGUGCCAGCAGCCGCGGUAAUACGUAGGGUGCAAGCGUUAAUCGGAAUUACUGGGCGUAAAGCGUGCGCAGGCGGUUUUGUAAGACAGGCGUGAAAUCCCCGGGCUCAACCUGGGAAUUGCGCUAGUGACUGCAAGGCUGGAGUGCGGCAGAGGGGGAUGGAAUUCCGCGUGUAGUAGUGAAAUGCGUAGAUAUGCGGAGGAACACCGAUGGCGAAGGCAAUCCCCUGGGCCUGCACUGACGCUCAUGCACGAAAGCGUGGGGAGCAAACAGGAUUAGAAACCCCUGUAGUCC